AAGUCGUAACAAGGUAUCCGUAGGUGAACCUGCGGAUGGAUCAUUACCAAUUUUAUAUACUAGUGUGUAUGCCGCUGUCAAAGGUGGUACUACACUACUACUAUUAUGUAAACGUUGAACUAGAUCAAUUGGUGUGGAUUGCUUGGGAAUGGACGAAGCGACAAGCCUCUUCCGGACAGGCAAACCCCACACUGAUAACCUUUUCAAUAUAUACUAUACUACUAGUACAUACUACAAACAAACAAAAGCUAUAAUAGGACUUAUAAACAGGCUGAGUGGGUAAAAUCCUCGGCUUAACCAAUAUAACUAUUACAACUUUCAGCAAUGGAUCUCUAGGCUCUC
rnacentral:misc_RNA from 1 species